CCUACGGGAGGCAGCAGUGGGGAAUAUUGGGCAAUGGGCGCAAGCCUGACCCAGCAACGCCGCGUGAAGGAAGAAGGCUUUCGGGUUGUACACUUCUUUUCUGAGGGACGAAGAAAGUGACGGUACCUCAGGAAUAAGCCACGGCUAACUAUGGGCCAGCCGCCGCUGUAAUACGUAGGUGGCAAGCGUUAUCCGGAUUUAUUGGGUGUAAAGGGCGUGUAGGCGGGGAAGCAAGUCAGAUGUGAAAACUCAGGGCUCAACCCUGAGCCUGCAUUUGAAACUGUUUUUCUUGAGUGCUGGUGAGGCAAUCGGAAUGCCGUGUGUAGCGGUGAAAUGCGGAGAUAUACGGAGGAACACCAGUGGUGAAGGCGGAUUGCUGGACAGUAACUGACGCUGAGGCGCGAAAGCGUGGGGAGCAAACAGGAUUAGAUACCCUAGUAGUC
rnacentral:rRNA from 1 species